rnacentral:rRNA from 1 species
GACGAACGCUGGCGGCGUGCCUAAUACAUGCAAGUUGAGCGCUGAAGGUUGGUCCUUGUACCAACUGGAUGAGCAGCGAACGGGUGAGUAACGCGUGGGGAAUCUGCCUUUGAGCGGGGGACAACAUUUGGAAACGAAUGCUAAUACCGCAUAAAAACUUUAAACACAAGUUUUAAGCUUGAAAGAUGCAAUUGCAUCACUCAAAGAUGAUCCCGCGUUGUAUUAGCUAGUUGGUGAGGUAAAGGCUCACCAAGGCGAUGAUACAUAGCCGACCUGAGAGGGGGAUCGGCCACAUUGGGACUGAGACACGGCCCAAACUCCUACGGGAGGCAGCAGUAGGGAAUCUUCGGCAAUGGACGAAAGUCUGACCGAGCAACGCCGCGUGAGUGAAGAAGGUUUUCGGAUCGUAAAACUCUGUUGGUAGAGAAGAACGUUGGUGAGAGUGGAAAGCUCAUCAAGUGACGGUAACUACCCAGAAAGGGACGGCUAACUACGUG